rnacentral:rRNA from 1 species
AUGAACGCUGGCGGUGUGCCUAAUACAUGCAAGUCGAGCGAACAGACGAGGAGCUUGCUCCUCUGACGUUAGCGGCGGACGGGUGAGUAACACGUGGAUAACCUACCUAUAAGACUGGGAUAACUUCGGGAAACCGGAGCUAAUACCGGAUAAUAUAUUGAACCGCAUGGUUCAAUAGUGAAAGACGGUUUUGCUGUCACUUAUAGAUGGAUCCGCGCCGCAUUAGCUAGUUGGUAAGGUAACGGCUUACCAAGGCAACGAUGCGUAGCCGACCUGAGAGGGUGAUCGGCCACACUGGAACUGAGACACGGUCCAGACUCCUACGGGAGGCAGCAGUAGGGAAUCUUCCGCAAUGGGCGAAAGCCUGACGGAGCAACGCCGCGUGAGUGAUGAAGGUCUUCGGAUCGUAAAACUCUGUUAUUAGGGAAGAACAAAUGUGUAAGUAACUAUGCACGUCUUGACGGUACCUAAUCAGAAAGCCACGGCUAACUACGUG